CGAGCUUCCUGAAGGGCCCUUGAAGACUACAAGGUUGAUAGGCAGGGUGUGUAAGCGCUGUGAGGCGUUGAGCUAACCUGUACUAAUGGCCCGUGAGGCUUGACCAUAUAACACCAGAA
rnacentral:rRNA from 1 species